UGAUUGAACCGCAUGGUUCAAUUAUUAAAGGGGGGUUUUAGCUACCACUUACAGAUGGACCCGCGGCGCAUUAGCUAGUUGGUGAGGUAACGGCUCACCAAGGCAACGAUGCGUAGCCGACCUGAGAGGGUGAUCGGCCACACUGGGACUGAGACACGGCCCAGACUCCUACGGGAGGCAGCAGUAGGGAAUCUUCCGCAAUGGACGAAAGUCUGACGGAGCAACGCCGCGUGAGUGAUGAAGGUUUUCGGAUCGUAAAACUCUGUUGUUAGGGAAGAACAAGUACCGUUCGAAUAGGGCGGUACCUUGACGGUACCUAACCAGAAAGCCACGGCUAACUACGUGCCAGCAGCCGCGGUAAUACGUAGGUGGCAAGCGUUGUCCGGAAUUAUUGGGCGUAAAGCGCGCGCAGGCGGUUUCUUAAGUUGAUGUGAAAGCCCCCGGCUCAACCGGGGAGGGUCAUUUGGAAACUGGGGGAACUUUUGAGUGCUAGAAGAGGUAGUAGUGGAAAAUUUCUCCUGUG
rnacentral:rRNA from 1 species